rnacentral:rRNA from 1 species
UUAAGUUAUUAAGGGCGCACGGUGGAUGCCUUGGCACUAGAAGCCGAUGAAGGACGUUACUAACGACGAUAUGCUUUGGGUAGCUGUAAGUAAGCGUUGAUCCAGAGAUUUCCGAAUGGGGGAACCCAGCAUGAGUUAUGUCAUGUUAUCGACAUGUGAAUUCAUAGCAUGUCAGAAGGCAGACCCGGAGAACUGAAACAUCUUAGUACCCGGAGGAAGAGAAAGAAAAUUCGAUUCCCUGAGUAGCGGCGAGCGAAACGGGAAGAGCCCAAACCAACAAGCUUGCUUGUUGGGGUUGUAGGACACUCUAUACGGAGUUACAAAAGAACAUGUUAGACGAAUCAUCUGGAAAGAUGAAUCAAAGAAGGUAAUAAUCCUGUAGUCGAAAACAUAUUCUCUCUUGAGUGGAUCCUGAGUACGACGGAGCACGUGAAAUUCCGUCGGAAUCUGGGAGGACCAUCUCCUAAGGCUAAAUACUCUCUAGUGACCGAUAGUGAACCAGUACCGUGAGGGAAAGGUGAAAAGUACCCCGGAAGGGGAGUGAAAGAGAACUUGAAACCGUGUGCUUACAAGUAGUCAGAGCCCGUUAAUGGGUGAUGGCGUGCCUUUUGUAGAAUGAACCGGCGAGUUACGAUCUGAUGCAAGGUUAAGCAGCAAAUGUGGAGCCGCAGCGAAAGCGAGUCUGAAUAGGGCGUUGAGUAUUUGGUCGUAGACCCGAAACCAGGUGAUCUACCCUUGGUCAGGUUGAAGUUCAGGUAACACUGAAUGGAGGACCGAACCGACUUACGUUGAAAAGUGAGCGGAUGAACUGAGGGUAGCGGAGAAAUUCCAAUCGAACUUGGAGAUAGCUGGUUCUCUCCGAAAUAGCUUUAGGGCUAGCCUCAAGUGAUGAUUAUUGGAGGUAGAGCACUGUUUGGACGAGGGGCCCCUCUCGGGUUACCGAAUUCAGACAAACUCCGAAUGCCAAUUAAUUUAACUUGGGAGUCAGAACAUGGGUGAUAAGGUCCGUGUUCGAAAGGGAAACAGCCCAGACCACCAGCUAAGGUCCCAAAAUAUAUGUUAAGUGGAAAAGGAUGUGGCGUUGCCCAGACAACUAGGAUGUUGGCUUAGAAGCAGCCAUCAUUUAAAGAGUGCGUAAUAGCUCACUAGUCGAGUGACACUGCGCCGAAAAUGUACCGGGGCUAAACAUAUUACCGAAGCUGUGGAUUGUCCUUUGGACAAUGGUAGGAGAGCGUUCUAAGGGCGUCGAAGCAUGAUCGCAAGGACAUGUGGAGCGCUUAGAAGUGAGAAUGCCGGUGUGAGUAGCGAAAGACGGGUGAGAAUCCCGUCCACCGAUUGACUAAGGUUUCCAGAGGAAGGCUCGUCCGCUCUGGGUUAGUCGGGUCCUAAGCUGAGGCCGACAGGCGUAGGCGAUGGAUAACAGGUUGAUAUUCCUGUACCACCUAGUAUCGUUUUAAUCGAUGGGGGGACGCAGUAGGAUAGGCGAAGCGUGCUGUUGGAGUGCACGUCCAAGCAGUAAGGCUGAGUGUUAGGCAAAUCCGGCACUCAUAAGGCUGAGCUGUGAUGGGGAGAGGAAAUUGUUUCCUCGAGUCGUUGAUUUCACACUGCCGAGAAAAGCCUCUAGAUAGAUAACAGGUGCCCGUACCGCAAACCGACACAGGUAGUCAAGAUGAGAAUUCUAAGGUGAGCGAGCGAACUCUCGUUAAGGAACUCGGCAAAAUGACCCCGUAACUUCGGGAGAAGGGGUGCUGACUUCGGUCAGCCGCAGUGAAUAGGCCCAAGCGACUGUUUAUCAAAAACACAGGUCUCUGCAAAAUCGUAAGAUGAAGUAUAGGGGCUGACGCCUGCCCGGUGCUGGAAGGUUAAGAGGAGUGGUUAGCUUCUGCGAAGCUACGAAUCGAAGCCCCAGUAAACGGCGGCCGUAACUAUAACGGUCCUAAGGUAGCGAAAUUCCUUGUCGGGU